GACGAACGCUGGCGGCGUGCUUAACACAUGCAAGUCGAACGGAAAGGCCAUGCUCUUGUGGGGUGCACGAGUGGCGAACGGGUGAGUAAAACGCGUGUAUACCCCCCUUAUAUUUGGGAUAUCAUUAGGAAACUGGGGCUCAUAUCGGAUAGGAUCUCUUGCUGCGUGGUGGGGGAUGGUAAGUUUCGGUGGUUGGGGAUGGUCUGGCGGGUUACCCGCUUGUUGGGCGGGUUGGGGAUUUCAAAGGGUUUGAAGGGUAGGCCGCCUGGGAGGGUUACCGGCCACAUUGGGACUAAGGUAGGGCCCAGACUGCUACGUGAGGCAGCAGUGGGAAAUAUUGCGCAAUGGGCGGAAGCCUGAUGCAGCAACGCCGCGUGCGUAAUACCGGCCUUCGGGUUAUAAACCGCUGUCGCCGGAAACGAGGCGUUAUUGACGGUAAUGGGUAAGGAAGCACCGGCUAACUACGUG
rnacentral:rRNA from 1 species